rnacentral:rRNA from 1 species
AUUGAACGCUGGCGGCAUGCCUUACACAUGCCAGUCGAACGGCAGCACGGGUGCUUGCACCUGGUGGCGAGUGGCGAACGGGUGAGUAAUACAUCGGAACAUGUCCUGUAGUGGGGGAUAGCCCGGCGAAAGCCGGAUUAAUAUCGCAUACGAUCUACGGAUGAAAGCGGGGGACCUUCGGGCCUCGCGCUAUAGGGUUGGCCGAUGGCUGAUUAGCUAGUUGGUGGGGUAAAGGCCUACCAAGGCGACGAUCAGUAGCUGGUCUGAGAGGACGACCAGCCACACUGGGACUGAGACACGGCCCAGACUCCUACGGGAGGCAGCAGUGGGGAAUUUUGGACAAUGGGCGAAAGCCUGAUCCAGCAAUGCCGCGUGUGUGAAGAAGGCCUUCGGGCUGUAAAGCACUUUUGUCCGGAAAGAAAUCCUUGGCUCUAAUACAGUCGGGGGAUGACGGUACCGGAAGAAUAAGCACCGGCUAACUACGUG